AACGAACGCUGGCGGCAUGCCUAACACAUGCCAGUCGAACGAGACCUUCGGGUCUAGUGGCGCACGGGUGCGUAACGCGUGGGAACCUGCCCUUAGGUUCGGAAUAACUCCCCGAAAGGGGUGCUAAUACCUGAUAAUGUCUUCGGACCAAAGAUUUAUCGCCUUUGGAUGGGCCCGCGUUGGAUUAGCUAGUUGGUAGGGUAAAAGCCUACCAAGGCGACGAUCCAUAGCUGGUCUGAGAGGAUGAUCAGCCACACUGGGACUGAGACACGGCCCAGACUCCUACGGGAGGCAGCAGUGGGGAAUAUUGGACAAUGGGCGAAAGCCUGAUCCAGCAAUGCCGCGUGAGUGAUGAAGGCCUUAGGGUUGUAAAGCUCUUUUACCCGGGAUGAUAAUGACAGUACCGGGAGAAUAAGCUCCGGCUAACUCCGUG
rnacentral:rRNA from 1 species